rnacentral:rRNA from 1 species
CGAUAAGUAGUGUGAAUUGCAGAAUUCAGUGAAUCAUCGAAUCUUUGAACGCAAAUGGCGCUCUUGGGUUCUCCCAGGAGCAUGUCUGUCUGAGUGUCUUUUUACGUGCAAUGACAUUCGCACGAUGGUCGUGCGGCGUUGAGGUUCGUGGCCUUGAAACGUAAACGUUAGGCCGCGUGCCUUGAAAUGCAGGAGGAAGAAGGGCUAGAGGUCCGGUGCAGUCGCAUGCGGAUUCAGUCGUUGUGCCGCAGGCGACGGCAGCAGCCGCAUCCUCGAGCCUCCUCUCCCUCGUGACUACUGCUUCCACCUGACUUCAGAUCAGGCAAGGCUACCCGCUGAAC